rnacentral:rRNA from 1 species
UACGUAGGGGGCAAGCGUUGUCCGGAAUCAUUGGGCGUAAAGCGCGCGUAGGCGGCUCAGUAAGUCCGCUCUGAAAGCCCGGGGCUCAACCCCGGGAGGCGGAUGGAUACUGCAAGGCUCGAGUCCGGAAGAGGCGAGUGGAAUUCCCGGUGUAGCGGUGAAAUGCGCAGAUAUCGGGAGGAACACCAAUGGCGAAGGCAGCUCGCUGGGACGGUACUGACGCUGAGACGCGAAAGCGUGGGGAGCAAACAGG